AGCAGCCGCGGUAAUUCCAGCUCCAAUAGCGUAUAUUAAAGUUGUUGCAGUUAAAAAGCUCGUAGUUGAAUUUCGGGGUCAGUAAGUUGGUCGUGCCACUGGUAUGUACUGGCUUUACUGAUUCCUCCUUCUUGUAGAACCGUAAUGCCAUUAAGUUGGUGUUGCGGGAAAACAGGACUGUUACUUUGAAAAAAUUAGAGUGUUUAAAGCAGCUAACGCUUGAAUACAUUAGCAUGGAAUAAUGAAAUAGGACGAACGAUCCUAUUUUGUUGGUUUCUAGGAUUGACGUAAUGAUUAAUAGGGAUAGUUGGGGGCAUUAGUAUUCAAUUGUCAGAGGUGAAAUUCUUGGAUUUAUUGAAGACUAACUACUGCGAAAGCAUCUGCCAAGGAUGUUUUCAUUAAUCAAGAACGAAAGUUAGGGGAUCGAAGACGAUCAGAUACCGUCGUAGUCUUAACCAUAAACUAUGCCGACUAGGGAUCGGAUGAUGUUAAUUUUUUCAAUGACUCAUUCGGCGCCUUA
rnacentral:rRNA from 1 species